CGUCGGUGCAAAUAGGUGUUUUGUGGUUAUGUAAGGUUCCCCUGAAUCUGCUCUUUUUAUGUUGAUAUGAUGUCAUCGUCGGUGCAGAUAUUUUUUGGGCGUUGUGUCCAUGCUUACUGCACUUUUAUUGUUGCUCUUAUGAUCUUGUUAUUCCUUUUCUUGCUAGUUGUCCGAUAAACGGAAACAACAACAAUGGAAAAUCCAGCAGCAAAAGAGUACAUGUUUAGUACCAUUUCCAGCAUCUUGUUCAGUACCUUGUUCAUCAUCAUCUAAAAAUUUCUGCACAUCUUCUUCAGUUCCAGGAAUGGUCAAAGUCAAGGUUAUGUGCUUCGUCUUCUUGGUCCUCUU